GUAGAGUUAACAGAAAGCAAAGCUCUGUAAGAUGAGCCUUGCAGGCAAGAGCUGAAGGUUGCUCCAUGAGGAAAGCAGAGGCCUGAGAGGAAACGUGGUUGAACAUCAAAAACCAAUAGGUGGGUUUUAGUGAAUUUAACUAAUGCCUUCCCUAUUGAUUUUGAGACUAGAAGAAUGUAAGCAAUAAAUAUCCUAAGAAACCAGAGUAUGCUCAGCUCAGCACUGUAUUAGGCCUCAGGGUGGAUAUGGAAGAAAACAAGGCCAUCGAGGUUAUUGAAGAAACCAGAAAAAGGACAGGAAAACUUAAAUAUUACAAGGCCUUGGCCCAGUGCAGUGGCUCACGCCUGUAAUCCCAGCACUUUGGGAGGCUGAAGCGGGUAGAUCACCUGAGGUCAGGAGUUUGAGACCAGCCUGGCUGGUGAAACCUCGUCUCUACU
rnacentral:lncRNA from 1 species